UUCACCAAGUUAUUUCUAUAGUCUUUUAUGUCUUAUGGAUAAAAUUUCAGGCUCCUGUAAAGUAGAUUAUCUUUAUGGACUCAUAUUUGUAAUCAACAGUAAUAAUGGGUGCAUCUGGGCACUCGGGUGUUUGACUUGUUGAUGACGGGUGAUUAUCUCACCAGGCUAACAGAUUGUAAGCUGAGCAUCAUGGGAUACUGGAAGAAAGGUUGGGGACACUUUCAGGGACAAGUUUUUGUGAUAAUUGCUCAAUUAUUACGCUAGCUGUCACUCUUCAACCUCAAGGACAAUUUAAUCAGACUAAAAGGCAGGUGCACCAGUGAUGUUCAACACUUUAUGGGACACAGAAGUAAUUGGUUACCCACUGUACCUUCAAUCAUUGAGGACAGAGGCUGGCUGGUUUACGAGGAAGACAUAUUCAAGCUGAAGCAGAGGGGCAUUUAGGACAAGCUGCCAACACAAAAAAAAAACCAAAGCAUAAAUGUUAUAGGACAUACUUCCACCUAACAGACCAAGGUAUCAGCAGACCAAGGUAUCAGCAUUCUGGGACAUGCUUCCAGGUAACAGACCAAGGUAUCAGCAUUCUGGGACAUGCUUCCACCUAACAGACCAAGGUAUCAGCAUUCUGGGACAUACUUCCACAUAACAGACCAAGGUAUCAGCAUUCUGGGACAUGCUUCCACCUAACAGACCAAGGUAUCAGCAUUCUGGGACAUGCUUCCACCUAACAGACCAAGAUGGGCAACACUUUUGUUAUCAAGGAGAUUCUUGUCACCAUUAAGUGCUGGCUUGUCAAAGACGGUGUCUCUUCUUAGAGCAGCAAUUAUAAUCAACUUGAAGUAGUAGGUGCUGGCUGGACUCUUCAUCAAGUUGUUUCAGAUCAUCCUCACUUGCAGUGGAGACAGACAAGUAGAAAAAAAAAACUUAAUGACUUUUUUGACAUUUCACCACCUGCCUUUUUUUUGGCGUAUAAAUAUAAGAGUAUUACAGGUGAAUUAUUUCAGUUAAAAAUGGCAAAAUAAUUAUCUUUACCAGCAGAUUUUAUAUGCUGCAAUGAGCAACAAGUAGAGUACAUGACACUCGAAAAAUCUGACGCGACUUUUUUACCCCCAUCUGCCUACCUGUGGCUGGCCAAGUGUGAAUUCUCGCCCAAAGUUACAGAAAAUUACAUUUACAUAUUGGGCUUGCUUACUUUUAAUACGUUUUCAAAUUGCUUUAAAAAGAUCACCUGCCAAUAUUGAAGCAUUAUUGUGGUUUUUGAUCAAAUUUUAUCUAAAUAUCUCAGUGUGAAGUUUGCUUGACUCGUGUAUGUCUCGUGGCAGAUUAAAAUCUCAUCCAAUCAAAUUACAGGAAAUCUACAUGUGCUAACUCAACAAGUGUACUGCACUUGAGCCUUGAGGGUGACAAUAUUUACUUUCUUAUUGGGAUGUUUUGAAUGAAUUGAAAUAUUGUUUCUAUGAACUAUAGGACCCCAAAAAUUGUUGCUCAAAAUUUAUUAUUUAUGUUUUUUGUCCUGUCUUUAAUAGCAUUUUCACCUAUACGUUGUUGAAGAGCAUGAAUGAAAAGAUCCUACAGAAAUUUAUAGUGAAUGCAUCAAUAACUUUGUGGCGUUUUAUUUUCUAAAUGUCAAAAACUUAUGUUGUCUUCAGAAAACAUGUGUUGCCAGGUACAAUAGAUCUUAUUUUGAAUGCAUUUAAGGAGUCAGUGCCUGAUUAUUGAAUGAAAUCUUUUAUAUUCAAAUUUUCAUGUGACAGAUACAACCACAAAUAAAAGAUUCAAUGACAUCAAUUUAAGUUUUGAUCUUGAAUUUGCAAGCUGUUGCAUUUUGUUAGCAUUUGUUCCACUGUACAAGUACACCAUUCCUCUUUCCCUAGAUAUGUAAAUGUCAGGAACUUUGUAAACCUUUCACCUAUGACUAAUUUAACUCCAGCCAUUUAGCUAAAUAAUGGUAUACCACAACACUUUAAAAAUUUGAUUCCACCUUGAGGUGCCAUGUUCUCUGUGAUGAUCAACUGGAGACAAAGUUUAUCUCCCACCUCAGAUUCACUGAGUUCUUGUUCAUAUUAAUAAAUGCAGGCACUCUGCUAAGGUUAAAUGACAACCACCCCGGG
rnacentral:lncRNA from 1 species